UACGGGGGGAGCAAGCGUUGUUCGGAUUUACUGGGCGUAAAGGGCGCGUAGGCGGUAGCACAAGUCAGUUGUGAAAUCUCCGGGCUUAACUCGGAAAGGUCAACUGAUACUGUGCGACUAGAGUGCAGAAGGGGCAACUGGAAUUCUCGGUGUAGCGGUGAAAUGCGCAGAUAUCAGGAGGAACACCAAUUGCGAAGGCAGCUCGCUGGGACGUUACUGACGCCGAGACGCGAAAGCGUGGGGAGCAAACAGG
rnacentral:rRNA from 1 species